rnacentral:rRNA from 1 species
GACGAACGCUGGCGGCGUGCCUAAUACAUGCAAGUAGAACGCUGAAGGAGGAGCUUGCUUCUCCGGAUGAGUUGCGAACGGGUGAGUAACGCGUAGGUAACCUGCCUGGUAGCGGGGGAUAACUAUUGGAAACGAUAGCUAAUACCGCAUAACAGUAGAUAUUGCAUGACAUCUGCUUGAAAGGUGCAAUUGCAUCACUACCAGAUGGACCUGCGUUGUAUUAGCUAGUUGGUGAGGUAACGGCUCACCAAGGCGACGAUACAUAGCCGACCUGAGAGGGUGAUCGGCCACACUGGGACUGAGACACGGCCCAGACUCCUACGGGAGGCAGCAGUAGGGAAUCUUCGGCAAUGGACGGAAGUCUGACCGAGCAACGCCGCGUGAGUGAAGAAGGUUUUCGGAUCGUAAAGCUCUGUUGUAAGAGAAGAACGAGUGUGAGAGUGGAAAGUUCACACUGUGACGGUAUCUUACCAGAAAGGGACGGCUAACUACGUGCCAGCAGCCGCGGUAAUACGUAGGUCCCGAGCGUUGUCCGGAUUUAUUGGGCGUAAAGCGAGCGCAGGCGGUUAGAUAAGUCUGAAGUUAAAGGCUGUGGCUUAACCAUAGUACGCUCUGGAAACUGUUUAACUUGAGUGCAAGAGGGGAGAGUGGAAUUCCAUGUGUAGCGGUGAAAUGCGUAGAUAUAUGGAGGAACACCGGUGGCGAAAGCGGCUCUCUGGCUUGUAACUGACGCUGAGGCUCGAAAGCGUGGGGGAGCAAACAGG